UGGCGGCAUGCCUUACACAUGCAAGUCGAACGGCAGCACGGGUGCUUGCACCUGGUGGCGAGUGGCGAACGGGUGAGUAAUACAUCGGAACAUGUCCUGUAGUGGGGGAUAGCCCGGCGAAAGCCGGAUUAAUACCGCAUACGAUCUACGGAUGAAAGCGGGGGACCUUCGGGCCUCGCGCUAUAGGGUUGGCCGAUGGCUGAUUAGCUAGUUGGUGGGGUAAAGGCCUACCAAGGCGACGAUCAGUAGCUGGUCUGAGAGGACGACCAGCCACACUGGGACUGAGACACGGCCCAGACUCCUACGGGAGGCAGCAGUGGGGAAUUUUGGACAAUGGGCGAAAGCCUGAUCCAGCAAUGCCGCGUGUGUGAAGAAGGCCUUCGGGUUGUAAAGCACUUUUGUCCGGAAAGAAAUCCUUGGCUCUAAUACAGUCGGGGGAUGACGGUACCGGAAGAAUAAGCACCGGCUAACUACGUGCCAGCAGCCGCGGUAAUACGUAGGGUGCGAGCGUUAAUCGGAAUUACUGGGCGUAAAGCGUGCGCAGGCGGUUUGCUAAGACCGAUGUGAAAUCCCCGGGCUCAACCUGGGAACUGCAUUGGUGACUGGCAGGCUAGAGUAUGGCAGAGGGGGGUAGAAUUCCACGUGUAGCAGUGAAAUGCGUAGAGAUGUGGAGGAAUACCGAUGGCGAAGGCAGCCCCCUGGGCCAAUACUGACGCUCAUGCACGAAAGCGUGGGGAGCAAACAGGAUUAGAUACCCUGGUAGUCCACGCCCUAAACGAUGUCAACUAGUUGUUGGGGAUUCAUUUCCUUAGUAACGUAGCUAACGCGUGAAGUUGACCGCCUGGGGAGUACGGUCGCAAGAUUAAAACUCAAAGGAAUUGACGGGGACCCGCACAAGCGGUGGAUGAUGUGGAUUAAUUCGAUGCAACGCGAAAAACCUUACCUACCCUUGACAUGGUCGGAAUCCCGCUGAGAGGUGGGAGUGCUCGAAAGAGAACCGGCGCACAGGUGCUGCAUGGCUGUCGUCAGCUCGUGUCGUGAGAUGUUGGGUUAAGUCCCGCAACGAGCGCAACCCUUGUCCUUAGUUGCUACGCAAGAGCACUCUAAGGAGACUGCCGGUGACAAACCGGAGGAAGGUGGGGAUGACGUCAAGUCCUCAUGGCCCUUAUGGGUAGGGCUUCACACGUCAUACAAUGGUCGGAACAGAGGGUUGCCAACCCGCGAGGGGGAGCUAAUCCCAGAAAACCGAUCGUAGUCCGGAUUGCACUCUGCAACUCGAGUGCAUGAAGCUGGAAUCGCUAGUAAUCGCGGAUCAGCAUGCCGCGGUGAAUACGUUCCCUGGUCUUGUACACACCGCCCGUCACACCAUGGGAGUGGGUUUUACCAGAAGUGGCUAGUCUAACCGCAAGGAGGACGGUCACCACGGUAGGAUUCAUGACUGGGGUG
rnacentral:rRNA from 1 species